rnacentral:rRNA from 1 species
GACGAACGCUGGCGGCGUGCUUAACACAUGCAAGUCGAACGGAAAGGCCCUGCUUUUGUGGGGUGCUCGAGUGGCGAACGGGUGAGUAACACGUGAGUAACCUGCCCUUGACUUUGGGAUAACUUCAGGAAACUGGGGCUAAUACCGGAUAGGAGCUCCUGCUGCAUGGUGGGGGUUGGAAAGUUUCGGCGGUUGGGGAUGGACUCGCGGAUUAUCAGCUUGUUGGUGGGGUAGUGGCUUACCAAGGCUUUGACGGGUAGCCGGCCUGGGAGGGUGACCGGCCACAUUGGGACUAAGAUACGGCCCAGACUCCAACGGGAGGCAGCAGUGGGGAAUAUUGCACAAUGGGCGGAAGCCUGAGGCAGCAACGCCGGGUGCGGGAUGACGGCCUUCGGGUGGUAAACCGCUUUCGCCUGUGACGAAGCGUGAGUGACGGUAAUGGGUAAAGAAGCACCGGCUAACUACGUG